rnacentral:lncRNA from 1 species
GAGUGACCGGGGCCCUGCCAUCUUGGGGGUCCACGGCUCUUGAGACGUCGCUGGUGUGAACAUGGGUACAUACAUGUGUUUGCGGUAUACACUGAGAUCGUAUUCACCUCCUACAAUCUUAAUUUUUAUGUCCAAAAAGUUGAUCUUUUGGUUACUCUCACGUUGUUUAACCAAUUUCAGUCCUAAGGAAUCAUCUGUGAGCAUAUCUUCGAGGUCUAUAGAUACAUCUGUAACGAGGAGAAUGUCGUCAAUAUAUCGUCUAUAUAGGAUAGUAUUUUUUAUUAAAAAUGGCUGGAUAGAUGUCUCCUUGUAACGUACAAUACACGUAUGUACCCAUGUUCAUACCAGCAAUGUCUCAAGAACCGUGGACUUUUAAGAUGGCAAAGUUUUGGUCACUCUUAUAUCGGAUAAAUACACACUGCAUGACAUACAGCAGCAAAAUGGAAGAAAUUAACUGGAUUAUAGAUCAAGCAGUAAGAAUAGGGUAUAGUAGAAACACGAUCCUUGAGUUAUGGAAAAAACUGUC